rnacentral:rRNA from 1 species
AUUGAACGCUGGCGGCAGGCUUAACACAUGCAAGUCGAGCGGAGAGAGGUAGCUUGCUACUGAUCUUAGCGGCGGACGGGUGAGUAAUGCUUAGGAAUCUGCCUAUUAGUGGGGGACAACAUUCCGAAAGGGAUGCUAAUACCGCAUACGCCCUACGGGGGAAAGCAGGGGAUCUUCGGACCUUGCGCUAAUAGAUGAGCCUAAGUCGGAUUAGCUAGUUGGUGGGGUAAAGGCCUACCAAGGCGACGAUCUGUAGCGGGUCUGAGAGGAUGAUCCGCCACACUGGGACUGAGACACGGCCCAGACUCCUACGGGAGGCAGCAGUGGGGAAUAUUGGACAAUGGGCGGAAGCCUGAUCCAGCCAUGCCGCGUGUGUGAAGAAGGCCUUUUGGUUGUAAAGCACUUUAAGCGAGGAGGAGGCUCUUAAGGUUAAUACCCUUGAUGAGUGGACGUUACUCGCAGAAUAAGCACCGGCUAACUCUGUGCCAGCCGCCGCUGUAAUAC